GCCAGUGUGGCCUAGUGGUUGGAGUGUUGGGCUAUGACUCUGGAGCCCAGGGUUUGAGUCCCAGCUUGGCCA